AUUGAACGCUGGCGGCAUGCUUUACACAUGCAAGUCGAACGGCAGCACGGGGGCAACCCUGGUGGCGAGUGGCGAACGGGUGAGUAAUGCAUCGGAACGUAUCUUCGAGUGGGGGAUAACGCACCGAAAGGUGUGCUAAUACCGCAUAAUCUCUAAGGAGAAAAGCAGGGGAUCGCAAGACCUUGCGCUCUUGGAGCGGCCGAUGUCUGAUUAGCAGUUGGUGAGGUAAAGGCUUACCAGGGCGACGAUCAGUAGCUGGUCUGAGAGGACGACCAGCCACACUGGGACUGAGACACGGCCCAGACACCUACGGGUGCAGCAGUCGAGAAUUUUUCUCAAUGGGGAAACCCUGAAGAGCGACGCCGCGUGGAGGAUGAAGGUCUUCGGAUUGUAAACUCCUGUCAUUCGAGAACAAGGCCUGCGAAGUAACUGUCGUCAGGCU
rnacentral:rRNA from 1 species